GGCUGCUGGAUUAAACUUUGAUGAAGAGUCCUUUGGCUAUAACAUUUUCAUUUUAUGGUUUGGGAAAUCAUCUCACCACCCCUUUUUGUCCAAUCUCAAAUACUUGGAUUAUUGGCGUUCUCAAUUCCUUAUAGUCUGUGCCAACAUUGGGAGGAAUCAAGACAAUUCAGCUCUUUGGAAUUCUGCAUUUGGAAGCUGCCUGAUAUGAGGAUCCUGAAAAACCAAAGACAGGAGUGGCUAGGUGGAAAAAUAGCUAAGGCUGACUUUUUAAGGCAGCGUUAACCACUCUGACUUGGUCUUUGGUAUGGUUUGGGGUGAACUGGUUUCUCACCUGUCUAAAAUUAGGUAUCCAGUUUUUCCUAUCUUUAUUCAACUUAGCCAAGUAUUUUACAGAUAGGGAGGCAGAACCAUCAAGCUUUAUAAAGGAAUUGCUUAGCACUACAAGGAGAUCAAGGCUGUGUGAGGACAAAGGAUUGACUCUACCACUUUGGUUGAAGUGAGCAGUCCAGUAAUUGAUUUCUAAAUCAACACCCAGAAGAAAAUAAUCCUCAGUUUCUCUCCGCCUCCCAUUCUUCAUGUGCCCAGUCAACCACCAGGCAUUAUUCUUGUUCUGAAACACUAUGGGGACAGGAGGACUAUUUGAGCAGACUUCACAUUCUUGGAAGUUCCCAAAUUUACAAGUUUGACCUUUUCUGGAAAUGAGGACCUGCAGGUAGUUCUGCUUUUAUUCACCCCUUACUGGAAGCCUGUUAGUGAAUUCUUCUUGAGGCCUGAACCUGCUUCAUUUUGCCCUGUCAUGGGGUCAGUCAUUUCUAUUACGGCUUGUUUCAAAGCAUGUACCUUUUAUUAACCUAAAUCCGUUGGAAAGAAUGUGGAGACCAAAGAAGAGGAAACACAAGAUUGGAGCUGUUCUGUUUGAUGUUCUCCAAAGAAUAAACACCCAAUCUUCUGCAAGGAUCAAGGCAAGGCAUCACAGGAGGGGAAUCUGAGGUUAUGUUAUUGGACUCCAAGGAUAUGUUACUGGUACAAUUAAUGGUCUGCUUUGAUUCCCAACUCUCCCCCCACGUACCUGGGACCUUCGAUCCCGGAGCCCUUCCGGGGCUCCGCAGCUGCAACUGGCUUGCUCCUCCUUGGCAACUCCUUCUGCAAGACCUAGGGCUUCUCCACUCGGCCAAAUCCUCCAUCCACUUUCUGGCCUCCGAAAAGGAUUUGACAUCUCUCAGGAGCAGUCAUCAUCUCUCUCGUUCUGUGUGGGUUUAGACCUUUUUGCUCCCUCUUCCAUCAUGUUUGUGUGUUUCAGGGGAGCACAGAGAUUAAGUGCAUGGGUCCUCUCCACCAUGUUUCUCUAUGAUUCAUGUAAACAUUUUCCAUAUCAUGAGUACGGAGGUAGCAAAGUGAAUGAUGAAAAGUACACCCACGGUGUUUGGGUCCAGAUCCCUGGUUCUACUACUUUUGAGCUGUGUAAUCUUGGGCAGGCUUUCUGUGCUCACAUUCCUCAUUUAUAAAAUGGGGAUAACAGUGGGACUGGUCGCAAAAUUGUAUGAAUGUGUGGCGUGGUACUGGACACUUAUUAAGCACUCCGAAGGUUUAAAAUGUUAUUAAAGAAAGGGUACAGCAUUCCUUAAUUGGAAAGGAUGAAAUGAAGUGCAUGGCAGACUCAGUCAGUAAAGCAUGAUGAUGUGGGAAACAAAGGCAGAAGAAUAAUUACUAAAUUCCCUUACUACCUAGAGCCCACUGACAAGUUCUUGAUACAGAGUGACAUUCCUCUAGGGACUCAGCUGCCUCGAUAUUGACACUUAGCUAAGGGCAAAAGACAAUCCUAGCCUGACCCCCACACCCCAGGAUCCUGUAAGUCUACUUUAACAUAUAAAAAUUCCUUUAGAAAUUUCCUUUAUCUCUAAACUCCCAAGAUAUGUGUUGGCAAUCAUCCCCCAAGCAUAUGGCCCACCAAUAUACAUCUGAAGGGUCUCAUGACUAAGGUUUUAUUAGACAGUAAUAAAUGACCUUUUCUCAACAACAGCUAGCCCCCUCAAGGUCCUGGAAACCUUGCUUCCAAAAUUCCUUAGAGAUUUAUGCUAUCCCUAACCCCUUCCCAACUUGAAAGUAUAUAGUGGGCCACUCACUCCUCAUGACCCCAGUGCAGCUCUUUCUUCCCACAGGUCCUGUCCCCGUGCUUUAAUAAAACCACCUUUUUGCACCAAAAAAUGUCUCAAGAAUUCUUUCGUGGCCGUCAGCUUUGAACCGUAACGUUCUUUCCUACAUCACAUGUGACUCCUGAUCUCUAGGUCAUAAGUCCGAGCCCCACGUUCGGCGUAGAGCAUACUUAAAAAAAAAAAAAAAAAAAAGGAAAGGACAAAGUGAUAUUGAUUAAUUCUGCCAAAAGCUAAAGGAGAACAGUUGAUUCUCUGAUCAUCUUAACCUGAAGUUGACUGUAUUCUCGAGGCUUUAGCAGCUUUGAAUCUUGCAGUUUCACAUUUGUCCUGCAGGUGGCAACCUUUGUCACCAAAACUGUUCCUCAGCCAGAGCUAACCCGGAGGGGAAAACAUACCCUCUGUCAUUUUUUUUUUUUUUUUUUUAAGAUUUUAUUUAUCUAUUUGACAGAGAGACACACAGCGAGAGAGGGAACACAAG